UUGACCUCGAAUCAGGUAGGAAUACCCGCUGAACUUAAGCAUAUCAAUAAGGCGAGAGGAA
rnacentral:rRNA from 1 species